rnacentral:rRNA from 1 species
GUGCGAAGGUUGCAUAAUCAUUUGUCCCUUAAUUGGGGACUGGUAUGAACGGCUGAACAAGAAAUCGACUGUCUCUGCUAUAAAUCUUGAAAUUAACGUUUAAGUGAAAAGGCUUAAAUGAGAUAGGGGGACGAUAAGACCCUAUAAAUCUUGAUGAUCGGGGUAGUAAUUUUUAUGUAGUAGUUAUAAACUUAAAUUUAAUACCUUGAUUAUUUUGUUGGGGCGACAGGGGUAUAAUUAGUAACUGCCUUGGAUAAACAGCUAAUUAUUUUUAUUGUGUUAUGUCUAAGAUCCUUCUUUGAAGAUAUCAGAUCAAGUUACUUUAGGGAUAACAGCGUAAUCUUCCUUGAGAGUCCAUAUCGAAAGGAGGGGUUGCGACCCCGAUGUGAAAAUUAAGG